GACGUAGGGCGCAAGCGUUGUCCGGAUUUAUUGGGCGUAAAGAGCUCGUAGGCGGCCUGUCGCGUCGACCGUGAAAACCCGCAGCUCAACUGCGGGCUUGCGGUCGAUACGGGCAGGCUGGAGUUCGGUAGGGGAGACUGGAAUUCCUGGUGUAGCGGUGAAAUGCGCAGAUAUCAGGAGGAACACCAGUGGCGAAGGCGGCUCACUGGCCCGAUUCUGACGCUGAGGCGCGAAAGCGUGGGGAGCAAACAGG
rnacentral:rRNA from 1 species